GAUAAACGCUGGCGGCGUGCUUAACACAUGCAAGUCGAACGAAUUUUUUCUUUCGGGAGGAACUUAGUGGCGGACGGGUGAGUAACGCGUGGGUAACCUGCCCUGUACAGGGGGACAACAGCUGGAAACGGCUGCUAAUACCGCAUAAGCCCUUAGCACUGCAUGGUGUAUAGGGAAAAGGAGCAAUCCGGUACAGGAUGGACCCGCGUCUGAUUAGCCAGUUGGCAGGGUAACGGCCUACCAAAGCGAAGAUCAGUAGCCGAUCUGAGAGGAUGUACGGCCACAUCGGGACUGAGACACGGCCCAGACUCCUACGGGAGGCAGCAGUGGGGAAUAUUGCACAAUGGAGGAAACUCUGAUGCAGCGACGCCGCGUGAGUGAAGAAGUAUUUCGGUAUGUAAAGCUCUAUCAGCAGGGAAGAAAAUGACGGUACCUGACUAAGAAGCACCGGCUAAAUACGUGCCAGCAGCCGCGGUAAUACGUAUGGUGCAAGCGUUAUCCGGAUUUACUGGGUGUAAAGGGAGCGUAGGUGGCAAGGCAAGCCAGAAGUGAAAACCCGGGGCUCAACCGCGGGAUUGCUUUUGGAACUGUCAUGCUAGAGUGCAGGAGGGGUGAGCGGAAUUCCUAGUGUAGCGGUGAAAUGCGUAGAUAUUAGGAGGAACACCGGAGGCGAAGGCGGCUCACUGGACUGUAACUGACACUGAGGCUCGAAAGCGUGGGGAGCAAACAGGGGUAGAUACCCUGGUAGUCCACGCGGUAA
rnacentral:rRNA from 1 species